UAUUACAAUGAAGAGUUUGAUCCUGGCUCAGGAUGAACGCUAGCUACAGGCUUAACACAUGCAAGUCGAGGGGCAGCAUGGUCUUAGCUUGCUAAGGCCGAUGGCGACCGGCGCACGGGUGAGUAACACGUAUCCAACCUGCCGUCUACUCUUGGACAGCCUUCUGAAAGGAAGAUUAAUACAAGAUGGCAUCAUGAGUCCGCAUGUUCACAUGAUUAAAGGUAUUCCGGUAGACGAUGGGGAUGCGUUCCAUUAGAUAGUAGGCGGGGUAACGGCCCACCUAGUCUUCGAUGGAUAGGGGUUCUGAGAGGAAGGUCCCCCACAUUGGAACUGAGACACGGUCCAAACUCCUACGGGAGGCAGCAGUGAGGAAUAUUGGUCAAUGGGCGAGAGCCUGAACCAGCCAAGUAGCGUGAAGGAUGACUGCCCUAUGGGUUGUAAACUUCUUUUAUAAAGGAAUAAAGUCGGGUAUGGAUACCCGUUUGCAUGUACUUUAUGAAUAAGGAUCGGCUAACUCCGUGCCAGCAGCCGCGGUAAUACGGAGGAUCCGAGCGUUAUCCGGAUUUAUUGGGUUUAAAGGGAGCGUAGAUGGAUGUUUAAGUCAGUUGUGAAAGUUUGCGGCUCAACCGUAAAAUUGCAGUUGAUACUGGAUAUCUUGAGUGCAGUUGAGGCAGGCGGAAUUCGUGGUGUAGCGGUGAAAUGCUUAGAUAUCACGAAGAACUCCGAUUGCGAAGGCAGCCUGCUAAGCUGCAACUGACAUUGAGGCUCGAAAGUGUGGGUAUCAAACAGGAUUAGAUACCCUGGUAGUCCACACGGUAAACGAUGAAUACUCGCUGUUUGC
rnacentral:rRNA from 1 species